rnacentral:miRNA from 1 species
GGCUGAGUCAGAAGCCCAGAAUUAGGCCCGACCUACUCUGGGGUAGGGUCUGUUCUGUGUCCUCUGACAGCCUGGC